AGAGCUUUGAAAACCCAGACGCUUUCUUUUUCUUUUUCACUUGGCUUUUUCCAUUGAGAGACCUAGAGUCCCAGGUUCUGGGUCGUCCCCCCAGAUCCCUCCGUCUCAUAGGCUUGGAAGGUCAGAAGAGACCAAAAUGUAACCAAGGAGGAGGCAGCUAUGAGAGGACCCAGAAACAUCUGGACGAUGCUUUUUGCUGGAACAAGGGGACCACGGUGGCCACCCCAGAUGAAGACGAACAAAUGACCUUCCACGUUCUCACAGUGUCCUGAGCCCUCUGGCCGGUGUCUCAAAGUCAGGUGAACAGAACAAAGGCCAAUAGCCUCUAACUUUCGGGAACAUCCUGGAACACAGCCUGGGAAAAAUGAGGUUCGCCCUUGACUGGCCCCAUCCUUCAUCACCAUCUCCCUCAUUUCUCAGGACCUUGCCGAGGACUUUCCAGGGAGCACUUUAAGCUGCUGGAGGCUUAGGAAAGACCUGCUGUCUGCAAAAAGCAUCAUCCUUGCUUGUGUGAGGGCCAAUGGCC
ensembl:lncRNA